UAGGCCUAACACAUGCAAGUCGAACGCAUCGCAAGAUGAGUGGCGCACGGGUGAGUAACACGUGGGAAUGUAUCCUUUGGUUCGGAAUAACGUCUGGAAACGGACGCUAAUACCGGAUGAGCCCUUAGGGGGAAAGAUUUAUCGCCGAAGGAGCAGCCCGCGUCUGAUUAGGUAGUUGGUGGGGUAAAGGCCUACCAAGCCGACGAUCAGUAGCUGGUCUGAGAGGAUGAUCAGCCACACUGGGACUGAGACACGGCCCAGACUCCUACGGGAGGCAGCAGUGGGGAAUCUUUAGGAGUGGGCGCAAGCCUGAUCCAACCAU
rnacentral:rRNA from 1 species